rnacentral:rRNA from 1 species
UACGUAGGGUGCGAGCGUUGUCCGGAAUUAUUGGGCGUAAAGAGCUCGUAGGCGGUGUGUCACGUCGGCCGUGAAAACCUGCAGCUUAACUGUGGGCGUGCGGUCGAUACGGGCAUCACUGGAGUUCGGCAGGGGAGACUGGAAUUCCUGGUGUAGCGGUGAAAUGCGCAGAUAUCAGGAGGAACACCGGUGGCGAAGGCGGGUCUCUGGGCCGAUACUGACGCUGAGACGCGAAAGCGUGGGGAGCGAACAGG